AGAAACUCAUUGUCAGAAAGGAUUUGAACAUGACUGGUGGCCUCUGGUUACCUCUUCACGAUGACCAGCUGCUUGAUCUCAAUUAAUGAAAACAACAUUAGAGUUCCUUGUGGGAAAUCAUGAGCAGAAAGCAGAUGUCCUCUGGACUGAUCAAUGAAUGUGGGACAUAUGAAGAACUUCAAGAUGUGUCUACAUAAGAUCUAUCCAUGAUCAUUCUUCUCUACAUCCUGAUGAACUCUCACCUUUACAUUAGUUCAAAGCCUUCAUCCAGUAACUGAUGGAUAUAGAAGCAGAGAAU